AUUGAACGCUGGCGGCAGGCUUAACACAUGCAAGUCGAGCGGAGAUGAGGUGCUUGCACCUUAUCUUAGCGGCGGACGGGUGAGUAAUGCUUAGGAAUCUGCCUAUUAGUGGGGGACAACAUUCCGAAAGGAAUGCUAAUACCGCAUACGUCCUACGGGAGAAAGCAGGGGAUCUUCGGACCUUGCGCUAAUAGAUGAGCCUAAGUCGGAUUAGCUAGUUGGUGGGGUAAAGGCCUACCAAGGCGGCGAUCUGUAGCGGGUCUGAGAGGAUGAUCCGCCACACUGGGACUGAGACACGGCCCAGACUCCUACGGGAGGCAGCAGUGGGGAAUAUUGGACAAUGGGGGGAACCCUGAUCCAGCCAUGCCGCGUGUGUGAAGAAGGCCUUAUGGUUGUAAAGCACUUUAAGCGAGGAGGAGGCUACUGAGACUAAUACUCUUGGAUAGUGGACGUUACUCGCAGAAUUAGCACCGGCUAACUCUGUGCCAGCCGCCGCAGUAAAAC
rnacentral:rRNA from 1 species